rnacentral:misc_RNA from 1 species
GUGGUCUAGGCACUGGAAGUCCCUACAAACAUUAACAUUUCUUAUUCUUUUUCACCAAGAUUCUAAAAAAUAAAGCAACCCCCAGGAAAAAAAAAAAAAAAAAUACAAGUAUUAACACAAAUUGCAUUUAUUUAGGUUGUGGUUGUGGGAUACAAUUUUUAACAUAUGAAAGAGGUCAGCAAUUGCACAGCAAUAGAAAUAUCUCUCAAGAUAAACACCCCCCCGUCUCACAAUACAUUAUAAAAACUCUAAGCAUACCAAUGACUGUCCACACAAUCAUAACACCACAACACUUUAUUCAAUUACGUAAUGAAAUAAAGACAACAUACUAAAAAUAAAUCUCUUCAAACUUCCUCGUCCUUUUCAUCCUCACUCCAACAACAUCUCAGGAUUGACCUUGGAGAUGCACAGCCUUUGUUUCUCACAUAACUUUGGUAGAUGAUCGAUCCCCCCUUACCAAGUUCUUCAUUGUUACUUCCAACACAGCAAUAUCCGUUCAAAUCAAGAAUUAACUUCUUUCCCACAUCAUGUAAAACAUCAGAAUGCAGAGCAAUGGAGAACUCAGUUGGUUCAAAGCAAGCCAAAACCCUUUCAAGCAGCUGAGUCAAAUUCAUAUCUUCUAAAUUGUAACCCACAGCUUCAAAACUAGCAUAACUGAAACCAUCUUCUGGAGUGAUGUGAAUUGUAGAGAUUGCAUCCCCUUCAAUGGCAUUCAUGGAGUAACCACAUGGGUCAAAAUCAAAAUCACAGAUAUCAGAUUGUGGGAGGAUCUUCCUAAUACCAGAUUCCUCAGUCAUCACAGCAGCUGAAAUGGAUUUUCUUUUGUAGAAUACAGAUGCUCGGUCCCUGUCCAAGCCAGUCAUGCACAUUUCCAGAGUGUGAACACGACCUAAGUUGCAUCCCACAUCAACAGAAGCAGAGUAUACAUGCCAUCUUUGGGAUUUUUCAGGACUACCCAUCACAUAUGCCACACUAUCCAAACCGAGUUUAACAAAAUGGCCAUCAAGGACAGCUACUUCCUCAGAGAAGCUUCUAUGUGGAAAUGACUGAGCCCCAGGAAAUAUGAAGCUCCCACGAGUAUACCUCA